UCUGCCGGCACUGGGCGGCGGGCGCCAUGCUGUGCUUGCCCCAGGGCAUGCCGGGAGCUGUAGUUUUCGCGGGCCCGGCCGCCGGACAGCUGCGCUGCUCUCUGCGGUGCGUGGCCCGGCGCAGCCCUCUCUACCGCCGCGGCCCCCGCAGCGCGGCUCGAGGUGCAGUUUUGGUGCCGGUUUUGGGUGUUUUCCUGCGGGCUCCCGGCUGCUCCCCGAAAAUGCGGUCCUGCAGCCCCGGGGCCGCGCAGGCGCGGUGGGGGCGCCCUCUGCCGCGAUCGCUGCUGCCUCCGCGGUUACCGGCACCGUGACGCGGCGGUGCUUGCGGAGCGGCGCCGCCUCGCCCGUCGCUUCCUCCCGAAAGUCGGUAUUCAAGAUACUCCUGUGGGAUAUAUUCAGGACUGAAUUGGUGCCCAGCAACUUCCUUGAGAUCAACAUCUUCAGCCCGCAAUCUGUGAGCAUGGACCACACCAGAUACAGCUGCUAGGAGCUCCAGAUGUAGCAGAGGCUACGUGCCCUCCUCCUGCUGUGCCCAAGACCACCCGCUCCACCCACCGAACCAACAGCACAUCACCCCGCCUGACUUAAAAGACUGUCAUGACAGUGGACCCCAAACUUAUGGACUA